UACGUAGGGGCAAGCGUUGUCCGGAUUUAUUGGGCGUAAAGAGCGUGUAGGCGGCCAGACAGGUCAGCUGUGAAACUCGAGGCUCAACCUCGAGACGUCGGUUGAAACCGUCUGGCUAGAGUCCGGAAGAGGAGAGUGGAAUUCCCGGUGUAGCGGUGAAAUGCGCAGAUAUCGGGAAGAACACCCGUGGCGAAGGCGGUUCUCUGGGACGGUACUGACGCUGAGACGCGAAAGCGUGGGGAGCGAACAGG
rnacentral:rRNA from 1 species